UCAUAUUUGCAAUAACAAAUUACGGCAUGUUUGUUUAGUUUGAACAAUUAACAAUUCCGUACUUUAUAUUUCUGUGUAAAGUGACUAUCAUUAGAACUUAAAACAAACAGUGUCAUCAAGCACCAACUGAAUGUCAUGGCCAGCCCUACUUUUGGGGCCUUCGGUCCAUUGAUUGGUGUGGUCUACGUGAGCAGUACCCAUUGUCGAUUUCUCAUUUAUUCAACUAAAAAUGCAGAAGUAUUGACUUUUCAUGAAAUAAAAUUACGUCAAAUUGUCCAUAAUGCAGGUUGGCUAGAAUACGAUCCCUUAGAAAUAUGGAAAAACACCCAAGAAUGCAUUGAGACAGCUUACAGGAGCUUAAUAAUUUUGGAAAUUAAUCCGUAUGAUUUGGUUGCUAUAAGUAUAUGUAGUCAGCGUGGAACGACACUUUUAUGGGACAAAAGCACUGGAAAUCCUCUAUGCAAUGCUAUUGGAUGGAACGAUUGCCGGACUUCCACGCUUUUGAAGACCAUUCUUGGUAAUAUAAAUUAUGAUGCAGAUUAUUUGCGCCAUAAAACGGGAUUGCCUUUAAGCACAUGUUUCAGUGCACUUAAGAUCCGCUGGCUUCAGGAAAAUAUAACUGCGGUAUCUGAUGCCAUAAACGAGGGUACGUGUCUCUUUGGCACUCUUGACUCGUGGAUAUUAUGGAAUCUCACUGGAUCCAAUAUAAGUGGUGUACACCUGACAGAUGUAACCAAUGCAGGCUACACAAGUCUUAUGAAUAUACACACUCAUCAAUGGGACGCCAAACUUUGCAAAUUUUUUCGUAUUCCCAUGCAAAUACUGCCGCGUAUACGCUCAAAUUCUGAACUAUAUGGCUAUAUAAUUGGGGGUGCACUGAAUGGUCUUCCCAUAGCAGCGUGCAUUGGGGAACAACCAGCUGCCUUGCUUGGCCAACUACAAACGAAAGUUGGUGAAAAUGUCUGCAUUAUCGAUGACAGCUGCUUUGUAUUGCUUAAUACAGGCGAAGAAUUGAUUGAGUCUUCUAAUGGUUUGCUAUCGCUGGUGGCUUUAAAAUUAGGUCCACAAGCGCCUGCUUCCUAUUCGUUGGAAGGUGCUAUUUCCAAUGCCGGUGCCACCAUUAAUUGGCUUAAGCAGGGAUUACGUAUAAGCACAGAAAUUAAUUCCAAUGACAAUGUCGUUGAAGUCCUAAGCACGUUUUUAGGGGAAAAUUCAAUGAUUUCCUCAUCUUGUUCAUCAGGUAUGCUAAAUGCCGAGUGUGGAUUGGCUGCGAAACGUUCAGAGAUAACAUUUGUGCCUGCUUUUCAUGGGUUAUAUGCGCCAUAUUGGCGUUACGAUGCGCGAGGAAUUUUACUGGGUCUAACGAGCCAAACAACAGCAGAAAAUGUUACUCAGGCUGCUUAUGAGGCAACUGGUUUCCAAAUUCACGAAGUUUUGGAUGCUUUUAAACGAGAUACACCCACAUGGAAUCGUAAAAUCAAUAAAGAGCGCUUGGUAUUUUGUGGCGACUAUGCAGAGAAUAACUCUUUCGUGCAAUUUAUAGCAGAUAUCGUUGGUUGUUUGUUGGAAAGACCACAGACAACAUCGCCUGCUGGCUUAGGGGCAAUGAUUUGUGCUGGCAUAACAAUGAAUGUGGUGUCUUUGGUGCAGGCGGAGGUAAUGUAUCCACCACCAGUGGACGCAUUUAUUCCCACAACGACGACAAAUCGGCGUGAACAAUUAUAUAAGCGUUGGAACUAUGCUGUACGGAAAUGCCUAAAUUGGAAUAAUUUUGCCACAUAUGAGGAAGAUUUGGAGUUGUUUGCUCAACGUGACAAUGAUCCGAAUCUUCCAAUACGACGUUCGCUUCCAGGUAGCAUAUAUAUAACGAGUUCAUUUUUGCUCUUGCUUGUAGCAAAUUUCCUGCGCGGACGUAACAUUUCAUAAAAGCAAAUUGAGCAAGACCUAAAAAAUUAUUAGCAGAAUCAAUGUAUUCCUAUGCCAUUUCAUUUUUAAAUACAUUUGUUAAUGUUUGGAUUGCCCGAAAUUGCAAGUCUGAUUAGGCAAUUGAACGAUUGAGUGUGUGGGUGUCUAGUCAAUUUAAUUGCUGAAUACGCUUCCUUUUAGUUUAUAUUGUACAGUUCCAUAAAAGCUCUGAAAUGUGUGGUGUGUGCAUGUAUAAUGUUCAAUAUAUUUAUCGGUUGCAUUUAUUUGCAUAAUUCAUUGUUAUGAUUCGUAAUUUGAUGCGGAUUAAAUCAGCUUAUUAUCUCAUUAAGCUAAAUAUUGACAUCAUCGAUGAAAUAAAGAGCAAAGAUUCAUUUUUGAAAGUUUAAUUAAGGUUAUUUUGAUUAGGUAUUAUAUUUAUUAUCUAAUAAUAAUUUUAAAUUACAUUUAUAGGAAAUGUCUAAUAAAACUGUGGAACAAUAAAAUGUAGAUUUUAAA
rnacentral:misc_RNA from 1 species